rnacentral:rRNA from 1 species
UACGUAGGGUGCGAGCGUUGUCCGGAAUUACUGGGCGUAAAGAGCUCGUAGGUGGUUUGUCGCGUUGUUCGUGAAAUCCCACGGCUUAACUAUGGGCGUGCGGGCGAUACGGGCAGACUGGAGUACUGCAGGGGAGACUGGAAUUCCUGGUGUAGCGGUGGAAUGCGCAGAUAUCAGGAGGAACACCGGUGGCGAAGGCGGGUCUCUGGGCAGUAACUGACACUGAGGCGCGAAAGCGUGGGGAGCAAACAGG